rnacentral:telomerase_RNA from 1 species
GGGUUGUGGAGGGUGGGCCUGGGAGGGGAAGCGGUCAGUUUUUGUCUAACCCUAACUGAGAAGGGCGUAGGCGCCGCGCUUUUGUUUCCCGCACGCUGUUUUUUUCGCUGACUUUCAGCGGGCGGAAAAGCCUCGGCCUACCGCCGUCCACCGUACAGUUUGGAGCAAACAAAAAAUGUCAGCUGCUGACUUGCUCGCCCCUCCCAGGACCCUGCGGUGGCUCGCCUCCUUAGCCCCCGCGUCCCGCCUAGAGGCCGCGGUCGGCCCGGGGCUUCUCCGGAGGCACCCAUUGCCGUCGCGAAGAGUUGGGCUCUGUCAGCCGCGGGUCCCUUGGGGGGGCCAAGGGCGAGGCUCUGACCGCAGGGAGAGAAACGGGAGCAGGUCCCCGCGCGCGGUGCGCUUCCCUGAGCUGUGGGACUUGCACCCGGGACUGGGCUCAGACACAUGCCGCCUGCUGAGGUGCUGUUGGAGG